rnacentral:lncRNA from 1 species
AGAGACAGAAGUAUAUACUGAGCUGGUAGUUGGGGGAAGGGUUGGCGGGUGGGGAGAAAGGAAGAGAGGAGUCUGGGCCAAGGCAGAGGUGUCUCCCUAGGGAGUCCUCAGAGCGGGCAGCCGGACGUCGCUCCAUCCUUCCCGCCAGAUGGAUGGGUCUGCUGCGCAGGCACAAGCUGUCGGGCCAGGCCCUGCCAAGGCAGAACAGUGGCGCUUCUGUGCGCACUGCUCCGAUCCGCUCCGGAGGAUGGGGCCCGCCCGGGAAGCCAGGGAGUGAUGGAGAAAGCAGAUGUCCCAGAACAGGAGCCGCGGGGUCACAGAAGCACGCCUGCCUCCCGAAACAAGGAGCCACAGGAUGAGGUGGGAGGGGACCGGGAAUCAACGCGGGGGAGCGUUUGGGGGAAGUGUUGGUCGAAAGAAGAGAGGCAGAAGGACGCGCGCUGAAGGAGCCUGGGGAUGAAGAGCUCGAUGAUUUGGCCACAAGCCCCCUCACCUUUAAGAACAAAGCUUCCUGCCUUCAGUUGCAGAGUUUUGUUUCGCGGUCAGAUGCUCAGAGACCUUCCAACCUGUCCCCCACCCCUCAGCCUUGCCCAUCUCCACGGGCUCGGAGACCACCACCCUCCGCCUCCGCCUGGCCUGGCCCGGCCCGCGAGAUCCCUGACGCUCCAGUUCGGAAUCUGGGAUCCGCAGGCUCCCAGAUCCGCCGCUGGCCCGGCUCCCACCCGCCCGUCAGCCGCCUCCCCCUCAGCGUUAAUUAAAACUUGCGAGAUGGAGAGGCUGGCGCGGGCGGCUCCGUUUAAUUUGCAGCAUCUUUCAUGCUGCUGACGAUCGUAAAGGGCUUUCAUAUUGAAAUAUGGGCCAUUUUCCCAGCUCCAGCCCUCGCCGCGGCUCCCCGCACCCCCACACCCAGCCACCCCGCGCUUGAUGAAAGAGCCCCUACAAAUCCAUUAAGGAGAGAUAAUUGAAAACUCUGGGGUAAUAUUUAAGACCGUGUGCCGACGCGGGGUGGAGGGCCUGACUGCGCCCGCUUUGCCCGUCAGUGCUGGUGCGUGCCAGUCCCUAGCGCUCUAGGCCCACCAAGGCCCCGCGGACGCCCAGCCAAGGCCCGCCAUCUUAGCGGUGCCUCCUCACUCCCUGCACUCAAAGGGCUGGCUCUGCGCUAAUCUGGCUCUGCUGAAGACUUGCCUGGAGACCUGAGUUCCAAAAGGAGCCACAGGGCAUGCUGUGUGACAGAUGCAUUAGGGCCAGCAUGCACGGGGGCCAAAGCAUCUUGUCCCACUCCUUCAGCUUCGGUUUGGUGCACCAGCAUCAGGCACUGCUCAAGCUUCUGAGCACAGCAUCCCCUCUGCCUGCAAACUUUGCCCUCCAGCACUUUCUACUUGGGGAAUUGCUGUUCCUCUUUCAAAACCACCCCAGUUCCACCCCAAGUAAUGGCGCAGUGGGGUAUGGAACGUGGGUGGGAGUAUAGACACUCCAAGAUCCUGGUGUGACCAUUGUUGCAGCUGCAUGAUGAGGACACUAUACUGCUCUGUUUUCAUAUGUUUUUAAUGUUCCACGACAAACAUGUUUAGAAAGCAGCUGAAGCAUCUUCUUUUACGCCUCCCUCUCCCAUAAAUACAGAC